rnacentral:rRNA from 1 species
AACAAACGCUGGCGGCGUGCCUAACACAUGCAAGUCGUACGAGAAAGGGUCCUUCGGGGCCUGAGUAAAGUGGCGCACGGGUGAGUAACGCGUGGAUAAUCUGCCCUUCAGUUGGGAAUAACUCAUCGAAAGGUGGGCUAAUACCGAAUAAUGCUGUGAGACCUCGGUUGAUCAGCCAAAGAGAGCCUCUGCUUGCAAGCCCUCGCUGAAGGAUGAGUCCGCGUACCAUUAGCUAGUUGGUAGGGUAAUGGCCUACCAAGGCGACGAUGGUUAGCUGGUCUGAGAGGAUGAUCAGCCGCACUGUAACUGAGCCACGGUCCAGACUCCUACGGGAGGCAGCAGUGAGGAAUCGUGCGCAAUGGGGGCAACCCUGACGCAGCAACGCCGCGUGAGUGAGGAAGGUCUUCGGAUCGUAAAGCUCUGUCGGAUGGAAAGAACCGCAUAGGAGUAAACAGCCCCUGUGUCUGACGGUACCAUCAAAGGAAGCACCGGCUAACUCCGUGCCAGCCGCCGCCGUAACAC